rnacentral:rRNA from 1 species
UGCCAGCCGCCGCGGUAAUACGGAGGCGGCAAGCGUUGUUCGGAAUUACUGGGCGUAAAGCGCACGUAGGCGGACUGAUCAGUUGGGGGUGAAAUCCCGAGGCUUAACCUCGGAACUGCCUUCAAUACUGUCAGUCUUGAGAUCGGAAGAGGUGAGUGGAAUUCCUAGUGUAGAGGUGAAAUUCGUAGAUAUUCGGAGGAACACCAGUGGCGAAGGCGGCUAACUGGACUGAUACUGACGCUGAGGUGCGAAAGUGUGGGGAGUAAACAGGAUUAGAUA